rnacentral:rRNA from 1 species
AGGACGAACGCUGGCGGCGUGCUUAACACAUGCAAGUCGAGCGGUGAUCCUCCUUCGGGAGGUGAUCAGCGGCGAACGGGUGAGUAACACGUGGGCAACCUGCCCCUCACACUGGGAUAACCUCGGGAAACCGGGGCUAAUACCGGAUACGACCUCGAGCGGCAUCUCUUGAGGUGGAAAGCUCCGACGGUGAGGGAUGGGCCCGCGGCCUAUCAGCUUGUUGGUGGGGUAAUGGCCUACCAAGGCGACGACGGGUAGCCGGCCUGAGAGGGCGACCGGCCACACUGGGACUGAGACACGGCCCAGACUCCUACGGGAGGCAGCAGUGGGGAAUAUUGCGCAAUGGGCGAAAGCCUGACGCAGCGACGCCGCGUGAGGGAUGAAGGCCUUCGGGUUGUAAACCUCUUUCAGCAGGGACGAAGCGAAAGUGACGGUACUGCAGAAGAAGCACCGGCUAACUACGCGCCAGCAGUCGCGGUAA